UAUUGCAACAUUCGACUUAAUUUGAAUAAAAAUAAGGCAUAGAAAUAAUAUUUUUUGUGACAAAGAUAAUGUAGAGUAACUAUAAUACAGUUAUGAGUGGGUAUCGCAUCCAGAGACAAUGGGAUAAUUUUUUUUAUGAAGGUAGUCGAAUGAAAUGUUUGUUUUAAUGUUUUUUGUACGAUUUACGGCUGCAUUUUAACCAACUUAUAGAAGAAAAGAUUUAGUCCUAUAAACUAGGCUUCGGAGUGGCAGCAACAACAAAACGCAAAAUAUUGACAACUAGCAGUCCGCCCCGGCUUCGCCCGUGGUCAUUAUUCCAGAGGCCCCGCUGUAACAAUAGGGUCAUAUAACAGACAUGAGAAGAACAACAAACAACCAGCAAAUACGGUGAAAUAGAGCAAUGAAUAACAGAGGCCCCGAUGUAGCAAUAAGGCCCUAUAACAGAGGCCCCAUCAAUAUGUCACCUGUGACUAUUGACCCGUAAUAGGUACACCCUUGACAUUUUCACGAACUGUGUAUGAUUAUACGAGUUAAAACAAUCUCUGUUAGUUUUAUUAAUGAGCGAGCUAUGUUUGUGUAUAGUUUCAAAAAGGUUACAGAAAUUUU